UGGGGAAUUUUGGACAAUGGGCGAAAGCCUGAUCCAGCAAUGCCGCGUGUGUGAAGAAGGCCUUCGGGUUGUAAAGCACUUUUGUCCGGAAAGAAAUCCUUGGCUCUAAUACAGUCGGGGGAUGACGGUACCGGAAGAAUAAGCACCGGCUAACUACGUGCCAGCAGCCGCGGUAAUACGUAGGGUGCAAGCGUUAAUCGGAAUUACUGGGCGUAAAGCGUGCGCAGGCGGUUUGCUAAGACCGAUGUGAAAUCCCCGGGCUCAACCUGGGAACUGCAUUGGUGACUGGCAGGCUAGAGUAUGGCAGAGGGGGGUAGAAUUCCACGUGUAGCAGUGAAAUGCGUAGAGAUGUGGAGGAAUACCGAUGGCGAAGGCAGCCCCCUGGGCCAAUACUGACGCUCAUGCACGAAAGCGUGGGGAGCAAACAGGAUUAGAUACCCUGGUAGUCCACGCCCUAAAACGAUGUCAACUAGUUGUUGGGGAUUCAUUCCUUAGUAACGUAGCUAACGCGUGAAGUUGACCGCCUGGGGAGUACGGUCGCAAGAUUAAAACUUAAUGAAUUGACGGGGUCAUAGCUGUUU
rnacentral:rRNA from 1 species